GCCCGCUCAGAACUUAAAGGAAUUGACGGGGCCGCACAAGCGGUGGAGUAUGUGGUUUAAUUCGAUGCAACGCGAAGAACCUUACCUGGUCUUGACAUCCCGGAGACCCUUAGGAAACUAGGGGGUGCUUCCAUCUGGAAGAAUCUGGAGACAGGUGCUGCAUGGCUGUCGUCAGCUCGUGUCGUGAGAUGUUGGGUUAAGUCCCGCAACGAGCGCAACCCUUGCCUUUAGUUGCCAGCAGUUCGGCUGGGCACUCUAAAGGGACUGCCGGUGUUAAACCGGAGGAAGGUGGGGAUGACGUCAAGUCCUCAUGGCCUUUAUGACCAGGGCUACACACGUACUACAAUGGCCGAUACAAAGGGCAGCGACACUGCGAGGUGAAGCCAAUCCCGUAAAAUCGGUCUCAGUCCGGAUUGGAGUCUGCAACUCGACUCCAUGAAGUUGGAAUCGCUAGUAAUCGUGGAUCAGCAUGCCACGGUGAAUACGUUCCCGGGCCUU
rnacentral:rRNA from 1 species